rnacentral:rRNA from 1 species
GCAGGAUUAGGCAUGCAAGUCGAACGAAUCCCAGCCUCUCACUAUGCUCUCAAGCUGGCGAGCCGAGUCGCGUAAGCGACCGGUGUCAGCCCUGAGAAGCGCAGUGAGGGGCUGGGGAAAGUGGCGAAAGGGGCAGUAAGGCGCGGGUAACCUACCCUGGGACUGGGAUAGCCUUCCUAACGGAUGGGUAAUACCGGGCGACGUGUUCGAGGGGCAUCUCUUGAACACUAAAUGAAUUUCGCCCUGGGAGGGGCUCACGUAGUAUUAGCUUGAUAGGUGUGGUAACGGCUCACCAAGGCUGAGAUGCUUAGCAGGUGUAGAGAGCACGACCUGCGCCACUGGCACUGAGACGCUGGCCAGACUCCUACGGGAGGCUGCAUGUCGAGGAUCUUUGGCAAUGGGCGCAAGCCUGACCAAGCGACGCCGCGUAGCGCGAUGAAGGCCUUCGGGUUGUAAAGCGCUGUCGAGGGAGAGAAAGCCGAAAAGGUAGAUCGACCCCUGGAGGAAGGACGGGCUAAGUUCAGUGCCCAGUCAGACACCGCGGUAAGACGAAACGUUCCUUAACGUUAAUACGGAUCCACUUGGGGCUUAAAGGGCGCGUAGGCUGUUUACCAAGGUCCGGGGUAAAUCUUUCGGCUAACCGGAAAGUGCUGGAUA